AUUCUCUCACCUUUCCGUUUAUAUCUCUUUUUUCCCCUUCUUGAAUAAUUGCUUAUUAUUUUGUAUUGUUUUGAUUUUAAGCUUAAUUUAUUUGGAUGGAACUCAAUCAUACAUUAAACUCAUCACGUAGGAAAUGUGUGAUAUAGAUAUACAAUAACCUGGAGAAGUAAAGGUUGUCUACAUUCUUGUUGACUCUAUGAAAGAAAUGUAAUGAUUUAUGUUAAGCUUAUGUUUUGGAAAAAGCUUAUUAUUAGUAAACAUGCCUAUUUGGUUAUGAUAUUGGAACAUGGCUUAUUUGGAGAAGAUUUGGAUUUACUGGGAUAUAAUUUGACUGACAAGUGAAAGACAAAUCUAGGUUGAGGUGGUCUCACACUAGCAUAAUGUGAGAGAACGUACGAGGCCAUGCUUAAUCACGUUUGAGGAUGACUUGUUAUUUCUUAACUUUUUAUGGUAAUAUUGUGAAAUAGUUUCACACAAGAAUUGCUCAUAGAUUAUAUAAUCUGCUUGUACAAAGCUGAAAAGUGAAUCUUUUAAAUUAUUGGCUAUUGGGAAAAGGAAUAUCCAUAGUCCACACACUAUUUUUUUUGUGUUAAGCUGACGAUUACUCAAGUUACAUUAUUAUGCUUUGGGUUUUUUUUUAAAACAAAAGGUAUUUCAUUGUCAUGUUAAAUCAGUAGAUCAUUACUUAUUAAGAUGUCAUUAAUAGUGGAUAAAGCUUGCCAAAAAUUUCUUACCUUUGAAGCUUGACCAUAUUCUUCAAUGUCAACUUGCAAAUAAGCAUAGGCCUCAUGUUUUUUUAGGACGUUGAAGUUAUAUCAGAAAAUUGGUUUAGAAUAAUUCAAUGUUUUAACUCGACUAUUUUAAAAUCAAAUCUCUUGCUACUACGUAUAAUUUUUUUUUUAUCGUGUUUGUCUAUCUACACAUAGCAUAUGUGGGAUAUUUAGCUUAUUUAACAUUUAAUAUCUCUACAACAUAUAUAUUAAAAAAUCUGAUUACAUAAAAUUAAAGCUUGAGGAUUUUGGAUACGUAUAGAAGAUGAAAAACUUGUUGGCAGAUUCAACUGCUAUGCUUUUAUCUCUUUAUUUCACAUGUCAUCCAGUAUUCAAGUUCUUUAAAAGUAAAACAAAGGAAAGGAAAAAAACUUUUAGAACUUCUUUGAUAUAACUUAGAAGCUUCUGGAUACAAUAGAUUUACUAUUGAUUGGUUGCUCUAUGCAACAAAAAAAUGAAAAUACCCCACCUUUGAUUAGAUUGAAGGAAUGUGAAUUAAAAUGAGUGAUUACACCACAUAAGACUUGUCUUCCUUUCAUCUGAAGGUUGGAUGUGGCCCAUGUGGAUAAGACUCCAAGUAACAAGGAGUUGUUAUUACAAAAUACAAUAUUCGUUUUGAUUGAGAUUUAAUUCCUUUGUAUCAUAUUAUUAUUGGUAGUGAAAUUUAAGCAGAUAACAUGACAAAUAAAUACAGUCUUAGGUAGUGCAAUAGAAGAAGAAACAUACCUCACACUCUGUACAUGGAAAGAAAUGUGUAUAACAUAUUAAUUUGUUAAUUUGUUUUGGGUAUGUCGCCAUUUUUACUCAAGAGAUUCAAGACUUAAUUAACCUAAUAUACUUAGUGCUGAUAGUGAUUUGUGAAAGGUGACUUCUAGGGGUCAGUUGAUAUUGUGAAAGACCGGGAUUACUAGAUGUGUAUGAAUUAUGGUUAAAUAUUUCCUUUGCUGCCUCCUACAUUCUAUAUAUAGGUGUCAAUAUUCAGCAUUCUGGAUCAUCUCAAUUACAUUUCUCUUAUAUCAUUCUCUUGCUGUCUUGCAACCUCUCUUCCCAAUUGUAACUUGCGAUCUCUAAAGAAGAAAAUAGUCCCAAGAAACUGUGGGUGUGGCGACAACAGUUGUGAUGACUGCAACCUGCAACAAGUAAGUCAAUGCCUCAGUCUUCAAUAUAUAUAAAUGCAUUGCUUGUAGAAGAAGAAACUACUUUGCAAGAGGAGGGCCGCUGGGUGAAAGUUGUUGUCCACUUGUCCCUGAGCCGAACUUUGAUGAGGUGAAUGCAUACAUAGGCUCUUGUAACCGUGACAGUUGUUCCACAGGGAAGAGCCUACACAUGCACCAACUGUUUCCCUUUCUAUGGGUUUUCCAAGGAUAACUUAACUUUCAACUAUGACAUCUUUGACGGCACCGACACAAUUUUAGUACACCACAUUCACUUUGGACUAUGAAAAGCUAUUCAGGAUGCUUGCUAAAGAUCUACUUCAUAUCAAACAUACGGCAUGCUCGCACUCUGCCACUUCUAUCCUUUUUUUCCUUUAUUUUUCCGGGUAGCUAAUAACUAAGCAUGACACACCAAUUGACAUUUUCUUUCAGAUCCAUGUGAUUAGAAGAUCCACAAUUUCAAAGAAAUCGUCAACCCACGAGAGUUAGGUAAUAUUAUGCACCAUCCUUGACAACCUUCUCUGGAAAAAAAAUGCAUUGGUUCAAGUUCCUGAUUUUAUACUCCCAAGAAAGAACAAACUUAUAGGAGUUAAUACUCUCACACUUAACCAACACUAUGAAUGGUUAGCAUCUUUGUUAACGCAACAUUUUUGUCUUGUUUGUCAUUUUUUGGUUAAUGCUUGGAAAAGAAAAAAGCAUGUGAUACAACUGCAUUUAUCUAACAAAUCAUGGAAUAGGCAAUCAGUUGUAGUUUGUUUUAGGAAUCAGGAUAUGUACAUAUUUCAUGAGCAAGCAUGAUCAUCUAAAGUGGAUAGUUAGGAUAAAACUCUAAUUACUCCCGCUUUUUUAUAAGAGAGUAUAUAAACUUAUGUUACAGUGCUUAGGGAAUGGAAAAUCUCACACAAUAGUCAUCCUUUGAUAUGGACCAGACACAACUACAAAGAAUCUCCAUAUAAAUGCAUGCGUAGAUAUUAUAUAGAAACAAUUCCAUAGAUACGAAUCAUUAGAACUUUUUGAUGCCAUAUUUUAAGUCUUCGUAUGGAGCAGUGGCGGAGCCAGGAUUUGUAGGUUGGGGGGGGGGGGGGGCGAGAAAUUUACAUCAAAAAUGUGAACAUUUUAUAAGUUUGAGGGAAAAAAAUGGUAGUUUUGCUGGAGUUGGGGUCGAACCUUGUAUCAAGGGGCUCAAAUAUGAACCUUUGACCACUAGAGCAAAGGGAAAUUAAUGGUUUAUUCUUACAGUUAUUAAUACAUAGGGCUUAUUUUUUUUACUCUUUGGGGGGGCGGCCGCCCCUACCCGCCCCCUGUCUCCGCCUCUGGUAUGGAGGUAAGAUCUGAGCAAUAAUACAACAGAUGAGAAUUGUUAUUAAUUGGACAAGAGGGGGAUACAUUCUUGGAUGGUACCUGCAGCUCAUAUUUAUAUUUGUACCAUUGCAUUUACAAGGUGAUGAAAAAUAAAUCAUGGUCGUGAAAGAGAUGUUUCGUACCAAACAUUUUUUGGUCAAAGUAAGCCCACCAACAACUCUCUCCAAGUAAAAUGCGCUAUUGUGGCGCCUCAAGCAGGUGGUGUUGGAGGAUAAAACCGAGAAGGCUUUUGGAGGCUGCGGCCGAUGGGUGACCAGUUUCAGUAAUGUCUCCCUUUUGUAUAUGUGAAAACUAUUUUUAGUGUGAAAAAUAAGUAUGUAUGAAAGCUGAUUAGUACCGAAGCUAUAUGUAUGAUUGCGUUAUGCAUUUACACCUUUUGCAAGAAACAUUUGUAUAUGUUACAUUGCUUCCUAUU